GACGAACGCUGGCGGCGUGCUUAACACAUGCAAGUCGAACGGAAAGGCCCUGCUUUUGUGGGGUGCUCGAGUGGCGAACGGGUGAGUAACACGUGAGUAACCUGCCCUUGACUUUGGGAUAACUUCAGGAAACUGGGGCUAAUACCGGAUAGGAGCUCCUGCUGCAUGGUGGGGGUUGGAAAGUUUCGGCGUUUGGGGAUGGACUCGCGGCUUAUCAGCUUGUUGGUGGGGUAGUUGCUUACCAAGGCUUUGACGGGUAGCCGGCCCGAGAGGGUGACCGGCCCCCUUGGGACUGAGAUACGGCCCAGACUCCUACGGGAGGCAGCAGUGGGGAAUAUUGCACAAUGGGCGGAAGCCUGAUGCAGCAGCGCCGCGUGCGGGAUGACGGCCUUCGGGUUGUAAACCGCUUUCGCCUGUGACGAAGCGUGAGUGACGGUAAUGGGUAAAGAAGCACCGGCUAACUACGUGC
rnacentral:rRNA from 1 species